AGAGUUUGAUCUGGCUCAGGACGAACGCUGGCGGCGUGCUUAACACAUGCAAGUCGAGCGAUGAAGUUCCUUCGGGAAUGGAUUAGCGGCGGACGGGUGAGUAACACGUGGGUAACCUGCCUCAUAGAGGGGAAUAGCCUUUCGAAAGGAAGAUUAAUACCGCAUAAGAUUGUAGCUUCGCAUGAAGCAGCAAUUAAAGGAGUAAUCCGCUAUGAGAUGGACCCGCGUCGCAUUAGCUAGUUGGUGAGGGUAACGGCUCACCAAGGCGACGAUGCGUAGCCGACCUGAGAGGGUGAUCGGCCACAUUGGGACUGAGACACGGCCCAGACUCCUACGGGAGGCAGCAGUGGGGAAUAUUGCACAAUGGGGGAAACCCUGAUGCAGCAACGCCGCGUGAGUGAUGACGGUCUUCGGAUUGUAAAACUCUGUCUUUGGGGACGAUAAUGACGGUACCCAAGGAGGAAGCCACGGCUAACUACGUGCCAGCAGCCGCGGUAAUACGUAGGUGGCAAACGUUUUUCCGGAUUUUUUAUGGGGGAAAAGGGAGGGAAGGUGGGAUAAUUUAUAGUGGGAUUUGUAAAUCCCCGGGCUAAACCAAAAGUAUGCCAUCCCAAACUGGGAAACUAAAAGGCCAGGGAAGGGAAGUAGAAUUUCUAAGGGGACGGGUGGAAAAAGGAAGAAAUUUAGAAAAAGUCCCCAGGUGCAAAGGGACUUUUUGGGCUGGAAAUACCAUAAGGUUAAAAGGCUUGGGGAGCAACCGGGUUUGAAGCCCUGGUAAGUCCACCCGGUAAACAUAAAUAUAAGGUGGGGGGUUUCAUUGCCUCCGGGCCCCCGGUUAAACCUUAAGUUAUUCGCCUUGGGAAUUAGGGCCCAAGGUUUAAAAUCCAAAGAAAUUAACGGGGCCCCCCCCAACAGCCGGGCAUGUUGGUUUAUUUGGAACAAACCGGAGAACCUUAACUAAAAUUUACAUUUCCUUGAUUACUUUUUAUCCAGGGAAGCCCUUCGGGCCGGGAAACAGGGGGGGGAUUGGUGUUGGCAGGCCGGGGUCUUAAAUUGUUGGUUUAAGUCCGGAACCAGGCCCAACCCUAUUGUUAAGUGGUUCCCAUUAAGUUGGCCCUUCAAGGGAACCUCCCCGGUUUACCGGGGGGAAGGGUGGGGAGAAGGCCAAACAUCCAUCCCCCUUAUGCUAAGGCCACCCCCCGGGCACCAAGGGCGGGAAAAAAAAGAGCAAUAACGUUAGGGGGGAGCCAAACUUAAAACCAGGUUCCGUUUGGAAUGUUGGCUUGAAAUUGGCUAAAAGAAAGCGGAAGUUCUUAUAAUUCCCAAACAAAAAGGCCCGGGGAAAACCGUCCUUGGACCUUUUACCACCCCGCCGU
rnacentral:rRNA from 1 species